GAUGAACGCUAGCGACAGGCCUAACACAUGCAAGUCGAGGGGCAGCAUAAAGGUAGCGAUACUUUGGUGGCGACCGGCGCACGGGUGAGUAACACGUAUGCAACCUACCUGUAAGAGGGGAAUAACCCGGAGAAAUUCGGACUAAUACCGCAUAAUACUGAUUAUCUGCAUGGAUUGAUCAGUUAAACAUUUAUGGCUUACAGAUGGGCAUGCGUAUGAUUAGAUAGUUGGUAGGGUAACGGCCUACCAAGUCAACGAUCAUUAGGGGUUCUGAGAGGAAGGUCCCCCACACUGGUACUGAGACACGGACCAGACUCCUACGGGAGGCAGCAGUGAGGAAUAUUGGUCAAUGGGCGAGAGCCUGAACCAGCCAAGUCGCGUGAAGGAAGAAGCAUCUAUGGUGUGUAAACCUGCUUUUUAUACAGGAAGAAACAACGCUACGUGUAGCGUCUUGACGGUACUGUAAGAAUAAGGACCGGCUAACUCCGUG
rnacentral:rRNA from 1 species